rnacentral:tRNA from 1 species
GCGAGAGUGGCGGAACUGGUAGACGCGCUAGACUUAGGAUCUAGUGGGGCGACCCGUGGGGGUUCGAGUCCCCCCUCUCGCAC